GAACAACUUAAGAAUUACUACCAUUAAUAAACCGUCACAUGGAUAGGACGUUCAACAUUCAUAUGCUCAAAUUGUAUACCUGUAUAUGGCUUUUCUUGAAUUACACACAGACACAAUGAUUGAGCUAACAGCAGUCAGGUAGUACAGUUGCCUCUGGUACUCUCGACCGUUCACACUGGUUGGCGGAGAAACGAUCUUUGUCUCCCUGAUUGAAAUUCAUUGUAUAUUUUACAUCUGCUGUGCAUAGAACCUAGAAAAAUCGUGGCAAUAAUAAAAGUGACCGUCAGCCGAUUUGGCGUUUGAAAAGUGUGGCGUGGUGCAAUAAGAUCGAGCGAAAUAUAGAUCAAAUUAAGUACAACUGGAUUCUAUACAUCAGAUAAUCAUCCACCAUGUUUGAUGUAUUUGGCUCCGUUAAGGGGCUUCUCAAACUUGAUCAAGUAUGCAUCGACAAUAAUAUAUUUCGUCUGCAUUACAAAGCCACUGUGGUAAUCCUGAUAGCCUUUUCGCUAUUAGUCACCUCGAGACAAUAUAUUGGAGAUCCUAUCGACUGCAUUGUGGACGAAAUACCUUUAAAUGUGAUGGACACAUACUGCUGGAUUUAUUCAACUUUCACCAUUCCAAAUCGCUUGACCGGAAUAGCUGGCAAAGAUAUUGCUCAGCCGGGAGUAUCGAGUCACGUCGACGGCCAUGAUGAAGUGAAGUACCAUAAAUACUAUCAAUGGGUCUGCUUCGUGUUAUUCUUCCAAGCCAUGUUAUUCUACGUUCCUCGCUAUCUCUGGAAGACAUGGGAAGCAGGCAGAAUCAAGAUGUUGGUUCUUGAUCUCAACAUGCCAGUUGUAAAUGAUGAAUGCAAGGAUGAGCGUAAAAAAAUUCUAGUAGAUUACUUUGUAGAAAACAUCAAUCGACAUAACUUCUAUGCAAUUCGAUUUUUUAUAUGUGAAGUUUUGAAUUUUGUGAACGUACUUGGACAAAUUUACUUUAUGGAUUUCUUCCUCGAUGGAGAAUUUUCUACAUAUGGUAGCGAUGUUGUGCGUUUCACUGAAAUGGAACCAGAAGAGAGAGGAGAUCCUAUGGCACGAGUGUUUCCUAAAGUUACAAAAUGUACGUUCCAUAAAUAUGGUCCGUCUGGAAGCGUUCAGAAGUUUGAUGGACUCUGUGUGCUACCGUUGAAUAUCGUAAAUGAAAAAAUUUAUGUGUUUUUGUGGUUCUGGUUUAUCAUUUUAACCAUUCUAACUGGUGCAUCAUUGGUCUACCGUUUUGCUGUUGUGUUCAUGCCAAAAGUAAGACUUUACUUAUUGCGAGCAAGAUCACGCCUGUCAGAACACGAUGAAGUUGAAAUGAUCUCAUCAAAAUGCCAAUUGGGAGAUUGGUUUAUCCUUUACCAGCUGGGAAAAAAUAUUGAUCCUUUAAUUUAUAAAGAGAUCAUUAGUGACCUCUCUCUCAAAUUUGAGGGCAAAGAAAUGGUUUAAAUCCAAUAUUAGUAUUCUAUAAAAAUGGUAUGUGAAGCGGAUAGCAAGAAGAGAAUCAUCGAUCGCGGUUCCACCCUGCCCAGUUAAAAUGUUGAUAAAAACUAACACGACGAACAAAGCUGUUGGAAACAUAGUCUGAUGAUCAUCAAAAAUGGACCAUUUCGACUUAUUAAUAGCAUUAGAACGACUGAUUCAACACUCAAUACGACAAUUAGUGAUAAAAAGCCUUAUAAUGAAAUCACGAUCGUGAAUUGACAGUUUGCGACAAUCAACAUAAUAUCAAAUAAAAACAAUGUUUUCAAAUAUUUAGACAUUCCAAUCCCUAAGUUCAACUAGAAUAUACUCUCUAUCCAUUUUGAUAUGUUAUAACUGAUAAUUUUGAAACAAAAUCUGCCAUAAUAAUGAGUAUCAGAUCAGAAACAGGAACAAAUGAUUUCUUUCCCUUUUUAUUGCCGCAAGUUCACAACGUCUUUAGUUUAGUCACAAUAAAAAAAACAUAAUUUAAAAGUAAUCUGUAAUAAUUUGGUCGAUAAGGUGUCUUAAUAUGAUUUAGCUGAAAUUUGAUGUAUCACUCAAACAAUAUGGCACAUUCAAUGGGUUAUUGAAAGGUACUCAUUCGGUAUUCAUAGUAUCGAAAAAUGGCUCUACCGUAUAUGGCAUUUAAAAUUAUGACAGCACUACAGAUCUAUCAAAAACUAAAAAGUUGGUUACACUACUUUACAUGUUAUUAGAGCCUUUCUAGUUAUAUAAAUUACCCAUUUAAUUUGAAAUAAUUUUCACCCUGACUACAGUCGAUAUAGCAAAAGUUUCAUUCAAGAGUUAUUUAAAAUCACAUACACAAGCGAUACCGAAAACCCGCGAAAAAAACAUUUUAGCAUCUUAAAAUAAUUUAUACUAGCUAUCUUGAAAAGAAGUGUCAAAUUAACGCAUUCAUGUUCAUUUUUAUAGUGAUUGUAGCAAUAAGAACAAAUUCACAUUUCCAAGCCUUUCAUGGCGUAUGUACCACUGCUGUAAACUUGUGAUUGAUAU